GGUCAAGUGAAGAAGCGCAUACGGUGGAUGCCUUGGCAGUCAGAGGCGAUGAAAGACGUGGUAGCCUGCGAAAAGCUUCGGGGAGUCGGCAAACAGACUUUGAUCCGGAGAUCUCUGAAUGGGGGAACCCACCUAGGAUAACCUAGGUAUCUUGUACUGAAUCCAUAGGUGCAAGAGGCGAACCAGGGGAACUGAAACAUCUAAGUACCCUGAGGAAAAGAAAUCAACCGAGAUUCCCUUAGUAGUGGCGAGCGAACGGGGAUUAGCCCUUAAGCUUCAUUGAUUUUAGCGGAACGCUCUGGAAAGUGCGGCCAUAGUGGGUGAUAGCCCCGUACGCGAAAGGAUCUUUGAAGUGAAAUCGAGUAGGACGGAGCACGAGAAACUUUGUCUGAACAUGGGGGGACCAUCCUCCAAGGCUAAAUACUACUGACUGACCGAUAGUGAACCAGUACCGUGAGGGAAAGGCGAAAAGAAACCCGGAGAGGGGAGUGAAAUAGAACCUGAAACCGUAUGCGUACAAGCAGUGGGAGCCUACUUGUUAGGUGACUGCGUACCUUUUGUAUAAUGGGUCAGCGACUUAUAUUCAGUGGCAAGCUUAACCGUAUAGGGUAGGCGUAGCGAAAGCGAGUCUUAAUAGGGCGUUUUAGUCGCUGGGUAUAGACCCGAAACCGGGAUCUAUCCAUGAGCAGGUUGAAGGUU
rnacentral:rRNA from 1 species